rnacentral:rRNA from 1 species
CCUACGGGAGGCAGCAGUGGGGAAUUUUGGACAAUGGGCGAAAGCCUGAUCCAGCAAUGCCGCGUGCAGGAUGAAGGCCUUCGGGUUGUAAACUGCUUUUGUACGGAACGAAAAGCUUCGGGUUAAUACCCUGGAGCCAUGACGGUACCGUAAGAAUAAGCACCGGCUAACUACGUGCCAGCAGCCGCGGUAAU